rnacentral:misc_RNA from 1 species
AACGCACAUUGCGCCCGCCAGUAUUCUGGCGGGCAUGCCUGUUCGAGCGUCAUUAACACCCCUCAAGCCCCCGGGCUUGGUGUUGGGGAUCGGGAACAGCGGAUCGGCCCCCCGGGGCCGCGAAGCCCCCGUCCCCCAAAUGCAUCGGCGGUCACGCCGCGGCCUCUUGCGCGUAGUAGCUAACACCUCGCGCCGGAGCCCGUCGUGGUCCACGCCGCUAAACCCCCGACUUUUUACAAGUUGACCUCGAAUCAGGUAGGACUACCCGCUGAACUUAA